AUACGGAGGGUGCGAGCGUUAAUCGGAAUUACUGGGCGUAAAGCGCGCGUAGGCGGUUGGGUAAGUCGGAUGUGAAAGCCCCGGGCUUAACCUGGGAAUUGCAUUCGAUACUGCCCGGCUAGAGUAUGGUAGAGGGAAGCGGAAUUCCGGGUGUAGCGGUGAAAUGCGUAGAUAUCCGGAGGAACACCAGUGGCGAAGGCGGCUUCCUGGACCAAUACUGACGCUGAGGUGCGAAAGCGUGGGGAGCAAACAGAAUUAGAAACCCUAGUAGUCC
rnacentral:rRNA from 1 species